UGUAGUCUCAAAAAUUUUAAAUAUAAAUCACUUUUUUCUCUAUUUUAUGAGUUGGAAAAUAUUUGUUUAUUGUAUUUAAUUAUCAUUAAAAAUAUAUUUAUCAUAACUAAAGCAUGUUCAAAUUGGUGACAUAUUGAAAAAAUAACAUCUGUUGAAUCAUUAAAAUAUUACCACAAGUAUUUGUAUUGAUCAUAUAUUGUUAAAUAAAGAUCUUGACCUGCAAAAGAUGUAUCUGUAGGGAUCGUUGGGUUUCUGAUUUCAGUUGCAAGAAUUUCUAGUUUGCUAUAUUGUUAGCAUGGCAAUACCAGAAGUUUUAUGUAAAGUACUUGAUUUUGUGAAGCAACAAGAAGACCAAAGACAAACGUGUUUUAGAAGAAAAUUAACCAUUUUUUGCGUACAAAAAUCAAAAGUAUGGGGCUGGCCCGUGGCACAGCAGUUAAGCUCGCACAUUCCACUUUGGCGGCCUGGGGUUCACCGAUUCAGAUCCCAGGUGUGGACAUGGCACCACUUGGCAAGCCAUGCUGUGGUAGGCCUCCCACAUAUAAAGUAGAGGAAGAUGAGCAUGGAUGUUAGCUCAGGGCCAGUCUUCCUCAGAAAAAGAGGAGGAUUAGCAGUAGAUGUUAGCUCAGGGCUGAUCUUCCUUAAAAAAACACAAAAAACCUCUGUCUAAAUAUUUUCUUUAAAAUGAACUAAAUGUGAGAGGGUUGUGUGUGUGUGUGUAUGUGUGUGUAAUAAAAGGAAUGGAAUCAAGCCAUUUUAGAAGCCUAUCAUCACGCUUAGUGCUUUACAAAUACUUUCAUCUCUCAAUCUUUACGAUGACUCAGAGUACUUACUACUCCAGUAAGAGGAAUCACAUGGAGAGGAGACAGCGAGAGACUAAGUGUCCCGAAGAGGGACUGCAAAGCUCUGAUUCAAAUGCAGAGUGGACUCUGCAGCCUGUGUUGGUUCCUCUACUGCAUGCCCUAGACACGGAAUUGUCUCAUGAAUAUGACUUAGCCCCUAAGUUCUUCAUGUAAGAAUUUUGUGACCUUUGAUGUUAAUGAUGUAUCGUGGUUUUAAUUUUCAGAUUUGUGAAAUGUAAUUUUGGUUCAGGUUUACUUUACAAAAUGCAACCCAAGACAUUACAAGCAAUGUAAUAUGAAGAAAUGAAUAAUCAAAUGAUGGAUUUAACUAAUUUAUAAAGUUCAAACCCAAACUUCCCCUUGACUGCAAGAUUUGUCUUUUUUUCCUCUAUAAUUACCAAAAUACUUGACUCAGUUAUCCAGUUAAUUUUAUACAUGUAUUCGUGUGUCUAUGUAUCUUCAAAGUGUAGUUUUUAACUACCAUAGUUACACCAGGAAGCAUGUACAUGCUUUUUGCUUUUGAAUUUUUUCUUGCUUAGAUUUAUCCCAUCAUCUAUAGUUAAGCCUGUUUUAUAGAAAGUCUUUGACUUUCUUUAAAUUAUUUCAUUUAGUCUAAUUCCACCUCUUCCAGCUCCAUGCCACCACCCUUACCCCAACCUCAGUUUAGCACAUAUCCUGCUCUCACCUGUCACGCUUGUGUCAAUAUUAUCAUUUCAUUGGCAGCAUUCUCACUGCUGGAAGUCAAGCUCAGUUGUGAAGGGGAAUUUGUUUAGGCAUAACAAUGCCAAUAUGAAAAGAACUGAAAUAAAUUGCACGUCUCUCUUUAAUCCAUUGGAUCUUUUGCAGAUAAAAAAUUUUUACUUUAAAGUCUGCUUCAUUUUUCUCACUAAUGCCUCCAUCAACCCUUUUUUACAUUGAAGACUACCAUUUUCCCUUUCAUAAACAUUCUGAAACCUAUUAGCUACUCAGAUCCAAUGGCUUGCUCCCUUCAGUUGCAGAAGAUUGCCACAUUCCUUCACAAAAAGAGCCUGGAAAGUGCUAGCAGUGCCCUAUUUCUCUGAAGGGUCUCUAACUCUUACUCAAGUAAAGGAAACGAGAGCCAGUUGUUAAACAUUUACAAGCACACUACUGGACACAGCCAGCCUGAGACAACCUCUUGAUGUGGGAGCUAAGAAAAACUCACACACAGACCUCACUCUCAAGAUAGAAGGAGGACCCGACUCCCCCAGGAGUCUCUUGGUGUGUGCUACUCGAACCAUCAAGCAUGUCUCCAGUUUCUUCGUUUCUGUGCAGAAGCUCGGUGCUGAGGACGUAGGAGACCAGCAGUAGCAGAAGCCAUAGCUUGGAUGGAAUGAGGUGGCACAUGGAAUUGUACGCAAAUCCUGUGGGGAGGGACAUGUACCAGAUACAAGUCAAGACUGAGAAAGUAUUUAAAAAUUCUUGAAUGGCCAACUAUAGAGGUUACGACUGACUCUGGAAGCCAAGACUUUCCAGCUUUGAAUUCCAGCUCCACCACCUGCAACCUGGACUAGACUGAGCAACCUGGGGUCAGGACGGUGGAUCUCAGCUCUGUGGCCUUAGUGCCCAGCCCAGCGUCUGCUACAUAAUCUGUGUGCCAUAUAUGGUAAAGAAAUUAGUGAUGAUGAAAAAACCUGGUAAUCUUUACAAGACUUUUUGUGAACAGCUGUGCCAUAGCUGUAAGAAGCAAAC
rnacentral:lncRNA from 1 species